ensembl:lncRNA
UGGUGCACAUGGAGUAAGGAUGGUGUACGCUCACAGGGAGGUGCCUGGCUGCACAGAGGCUGACAGCGUCUGUUCAGAUUCGCUGCUGACCCUCUGCCAAACACGGUCUCCAGUUCCAUAUACAGCCUGAAGCAAAAGGUCCAGCUGCCUCUUGCCCCAGAGCUCCUGGGAAGGAUGUCUUGGUGCUUCUCCUUCGUGCUGAACGUGCAGUGCUGCUUUGGUGAUUCGGCUCAGCUCCUGCGGGCGCCACGGAAGGAGCCACCUUUUAGAAAGGUGUCGGUGACUGGAUGAAACAAACUACUGCAGCCCAGCCCCUACCCACUGAAAUGCUGCAGCACGCACUGAAGAGUUAAACCCGCUCAAGCCCCACCGAGGGGGCUGGCACGGGCAGAGCUCACGGACCCCUGGCUACGGGCAGCACCGGCUCCUUCCCGAGCCGCACAUGGAGCUACAGCUGGUGUCAAACAGCGCAUCAAACCACAGCCUGGCUGGUGGGAAGGGACCUCCCAGACCAUCCAGUCCCAACCCCUGCCCUGGGCAGGGCCACCUGCCACCAGAGCAGGCUGCUCCCAGCCCACCUUGAACACCUUGACCCCCUGGGCACGUGCUGUGCUACCUGUGGUGGCCGUGGGCCAGCGCUCCCCCAGAGCAAGGACACUUCACCCAGCAUGGGAUGUCUGCUCACGGCCUCGCUGGGGAAGUAUUUUUCAUUUUGUAGCAUCGCCUUUUUUUUUGAAAAAUUAAGAGUAUAAUUUUCAUUUGCUCAGCUCCUUCGCUCAGGAAGCUUUCUGUUCGGGUGGGAGUGUAUGUUAAAAAGCUUUGGUGUAAUUAGUAUUUUUCUGUAGCUGCACAGCUCAUUCAGGCCUCGCCCCAGCUGUCCUGUACUUUAAUAUUCACCAGUAAUUAACAUUAAUAUUCACUGGUAAUUAACACCCGCUGGCUGACGGGUGGCUCCGUGUCUCGGCGUGGGCUGGGCCCAACGCACCAUCCCCACCCCCGGAGCUUUUGACAGGCUAAUUCCCCCCUCCCGACCCCCGCCCCCCCCACUUAGACCCCAAGGGGAUGCGUUGAUCCCUCCCGUUUUUUCCCGUUUCUGUUUGCAUUUUAAAGCGCUGCGGUCCGGCGGGGGCGGGGCGCUGCAAGAGGGGGCGGGGCCAGGUGGGGGCGGGGCCAGGGCGCUGUCGGGGGCGGGGUCAGAGCCGCGCCCCGCCCCGCAGCCCCAGCGCUGCCGCCCCGGCGGUGCCGCGGGGAGCGCCCGGCGGAGCGGUGUGAGUGGGGGAGGAGAUGAUGGUGCUGAUGUGGCUGGACUCUGGAGGACCGCCCGGCCCGGUCUCGGCGCCGGUGGGACGAGGGCCCGAUCCUGGAGGCACCUCUGGAGGAAGGGGCAGCCCUCCGCGCCCUGCCCGCCGGCGGAAGCCGCUGCUCGGUGGCCGGGGGCGCGCCGGUGGCGCCGCAUCUGCAACAUGCGCUUCCCGCUUCAGCCUCCCCCGCCGCGCCGAGUCCCAGUGGUGACGCUGUCUGUGCUGUACUGGGGACACGUGGGACAACUUGAUAAAAGCAGGUGUGGUUUUGGCUUGUCAGCUGUGCCGCCUGCUCUGAAACACGCUGGCAUGCGCUGA